rnacentral:rRNA from 1 species
AUACGAAGGUCCCAAGCGUUGUUCGGAAUCACUGGGCGUAAAGCGUGUGUAGGCUGCGCGGAAAGUCAAAUGUGAAAGCCCGGGGCUCAACCUCGGAACUGCAUUCGAUACUCCCGUGCUAGAGUAAUGGAGAGGUAAGUGGAAUUCCUGGUGUAGCAGUGAAAUGCGUGGAUAUCAGGAGGAACAUCAAUGGCGAAGGCAACUUACUGGACAUUUACUGACGCUCAGACACGAAGGCUAGGGUAGCGAAAGGGAUUAGAUACCCCUGUAGUCCUAGCAGUAAACGGUGCUCGCUUGGUGUGGGAGGAUUCGACCCCUUCUGUGCCGGAGCUAACGCGUUAAGCGAGCCGCCUGGGAAGUACGGUCGCAAGACUAAAACUCAAAGAAAUUGACGGGGACCCGCACAAGCGGUGGAGUAUGUGGCUUAAUUCGAUGCAACGCGAAGAACCUUACCUAGGCUUGACAUGCUUGUCGUACUCUCCCGAAAAGGAGAGGUCACUUCGGGUGGACAAUGCAC